GUGCAAAAGCAACAAUAAACGUAUGGGAACCAUCAAUCGAAGUAGUGAACGAGUUUAGUCUAUCUCAAAUUUGGGUUCUAUCUGGAUCUUUUGACGGGUCGGAUCUUAAUAGCAUCGAAGCUGGCUGGCAGGUUAGUCCGGAGCUAUAUGGUGACAGCAGACCUAGAUUAUUUACAUAUUGGACGAGUGAUUCCUAUCAAGCAACAGGAUGUUACAACUUGUUAUGUUCAGGAUUUGUCCAAACAAAUAGCAGAAUAGCCAUUGGUGCUGCCAUUUCUCCUGUUUCUUCUGUUGAGGGAAGUCAAUAUGAUGUUACUAU
rnacentral:misc_RNA from 1 species